GUAUGGAUGCCCGAGUGGUCUAAGGGGGUAGACUCAAGUUCUACUGUCGUAAGACUCGUGGGUUCGAAUCCCACUCCAUACA
rnacentral:tRNA from 1 species